rnacentral:rRNA from 1 species
CCUGGCUCAGGACGAACGCUGGCGGCGUGCUUAACACAUGCAAGUCGAACGGAAAGCCCCCUUCGGGGGUGCUCGAGUGGCGAACGGGUGAGUAACACGUGGGUGAUCUGCCCUGCACUUUGGGAUAAGCCUGGGAAACUGGGUCUAAUACCGGAUAUACCUUGCUGGCUGCAUGGCUGGUGGGGGAAAGCUUUUGCGGUGUGGGAUGGGCCCGCGGCCUAUCAGCUUGUUGGUGGGGUGAUGGCCUACCAAGGCGACGACGGGUAGCCGGCCUGAGAGGGUGUCCGGCCACACUGGGACUGAGAUACGGCCCAGACUCCUACGGGAGGCAGCAGUGGGGAAUAUUGCACAAUGGGCGCAAGCCUGAUGCAGCGACGCCGCGUGAGGGAUGACGGCCUUCGGGUUGUAAACCUCUUUCACUAGGGACGAAGCGCAAGUGACGGUACCUAGAGAAGAAGCACCGGCCAACUACGUGCCAGCAGCCGCGGUAAUACGUAGGGUGCGAGCGUUGUCCGGAAUUACUGGGCGUAAAGAGCUCGUAGGUGGUUUGUCGCGUUGUUCGUGAAAACUCACAGCUUAACUGUGGGCGUGCGGGCGAUACGGGCAGACUGGAGUACUGCAGGGGAGACUGGAAUUCCUGGUGUAGCGGUGGAAUGCGCAGAUAUCAGGAGGAACACCGGUGGCGAAGGC